rnacentral:misc_RNA from 1 species
GUGGUCUUCUAGUAAAAGGAAUUAUAUCACCAGGAUAAAGGGUAUUUGAACCAGCAGUUCCUCUGGGACCUAGCCAUAGGUAAUUGUCAUGAUAGUCACUUGAAUCUCGCUUGCCAUUAGUAUGAGAUUCAGAUGCAUAACUAUUUUGUUCACUGGAUGUUCCAGAAACAACUUUGUUUUUAGAAGACUUCCAUGACCCUCCAGAGCUU